GUGGAUGUUGGGGACAAGCACCUUGGGCGACAGUCGCGGCCGGCGGGAGGAGCUCGCCGCGCCGCAGGAAGAAGAGACGGUGGUCGCCUGUCCGGAACUGUUGUUGCCGGCGCCGGCGACGUCCCCGAGCUGUUGCUGCCAUCCACAACUCCGUCAUGCGCGCUGCUGCCGACAACCUCCCCAACCCGUAGCUGCCCUAUGAGGCUGCUGUUGGGGACAAGAAGCUUGGGCGUUGGCUGCGGCAGGCGGGAGGAGCUCGCCACGCUGCAUGAAGAAGAGAUGGUGGUCGCCUGUACGGAACUGUUGCUGCCGGCGCCGGCGACGUCCCCGACCUAUUGCUGCCUUCCACAACUCCUUCAUGCUGCUACCGACAACCUCCGGAACCUGCAGCUGCCCAUUGAGGGUGUUCUGGGGCAGGGGAGAAGCCGAGGUGGUGACUUUGCGUCUCGGCAGUGAUGACCAUCCCAACUAACUUGGCCAAGCACUGGCUCCCAUCAUAGCCAAGAUCAUGGCGACGGUCAACGGCGGGUCCUAGUGAAUGUCAUGAGCUCACCAUGCUGCAACCGUGGUGGCGGUGACGCUCAUCCUCGUGGACGACCUCUUAGUUAUUGAAGCAAGGGAGCAUAGGAUGCCGAUGUCUUAAAGGGAGCAUAGGAUGCUGAUGUCUUAUGAGGGAGCAUAGGAUGCCGAUGUCUUAUUCAUGACUAUUGGGUGGCCGUCUUCGACUUUCUAGGUGUUUGCUGUUGCAUGGUUGUGGCCCUCGUCCACCUGACCUGCUGCUGCUGGAUCAGUGAGCAAGCUGAUGCUGCUGCCAUCCACCACUCCAGGGACCUCUACAAGGCUGGCGAGGGCAGCUUCAGCCUCGAAGCCAGGGGCGGCAAGAUCUGCCUCAUCUGCACAGUGCCUCAUUUUGGGAACAAGGCCGCAAAAAGAGCUCGAUGCUUUGGAAGCCAAUAUGGAGUUCAAAUCGAAUCCAGUCCCAUGUUACCUUCAACCAGACUAGGAGUGGUCAUGUAGCAGCCCUAAACCGGUAGCAGGCUUCUUUGAACUGGAGAAUGGAAACCAGGAGCUCAAGGGUGACCUUAAGCACGUCGACAUCAACAGCACAAACAGUGCAGACUUGUAAAUCCUCAAUAUUUGCCCCAGGUCAUUUGUUGCAGAAACCUCUGUCUAGUGUUUUACCAUACUAUGUAUUCACAUGAGUUUUUUCAAGUGUGAUAGGCCAUGAAAUUGUAAACUGGUACGGUUUUGAGUAGAUUUUGAAACUAUGUGAACGUGAGAUUUGUGCUUGUGUCUAGGACAUCCUCUCUGCAUCAAAACAUGACACACGUAGUCCACAUAGAUCUCUAUUUCUUCUGCUUAUCCAGGAUAAACAGUGUAUUUUACUUUUCCAUUUGGGAGACUAUGGGUUGAGUUUUCACUUUGUGUUGACUGCUCAUAGGUUAAACUGAUCAGAUGGAGGUGCUGACUCUUUGGCUAAAACAUCUUAUUUACUGAGACUGUUUUGAUUUGUUUGUUGUCAGAUUUUCUCCGAAGUUCAUUUCUUCAGUGUUUAUGUUUUCAUGUUUGUGUUUCAGUCUAAUGCUAAUUUUGCUUCUAUAAAAUGCAUGCAAGGCAACCUAGGUCUAGAUUGUGAAUAUUGUGCCACUGGCUAUUGCUAUUUGACUAGGCAAGAUUUAUGGAGUUAGUGGUUUGGUUUAAAGUUACAAAAUUGCAAUCCUUUGAGACUCUUUGGUUUGACAGUUUGAAGUUGGUCUUAGUGAUUGUUUUGUCUAUAUUUGCAAUCCAUCCAGGGUUUUAGUUGAUGUUUUCUCUAUCUGUGCAUUCAUUCAUUUGAUUUGUGUAUGUAGGUGAUGCAGCUGAUGGAGGGAGGAAGCCAGGCGGCAUGGUCUUGGUCGCCAGAAAGCAGCAUACAACACAUGGCGGAGAGGGGCAGUCGCAAUGUUGGUCGAGGAGGCAACUUGCAACCUACAGAGAAGUUGCUCUUGCUGUUUUAAAGGAGCUUGGUGUGGACGUUCAUGUUUUUGUUGUGUUCAAGUUGAGAACAUGGGGAUGAUGAGGCAGCAAUGACGACGUGACGCAGCCCAGAUGUGUUGUUGCUUGUCUGCAGCUGCUUUGGUUCUGAUAUUAUCGUUCGGUUCCGGUGACCGUGGCUGUGGUUCAGCUGCUGCUUUUGUUUCUGUAGAACUGCUUCAGUUUUUGUAACAUGCAGCAGUGAAAUUGUAUCGUUCCUUCAGUUCCUUCAUUCGUGACUUGCAAUUUUUCUGUAAUUGAAUUUGUGAGUAGUGUCGUGUUGUGCUGUAUUUCACUUAACAUUAAAUGAUUUUUUUAUAUGCGCACCAAAA